rnacentral:rRNA from 1 species
CCCUUAGAUGUUCUGGGCCGCACGCGCGCUACACUGAUGCAUUCAACGAGCCUAGCCUUGACCGAGAGGUCCGGGUAAUCUUUGGAACUGCAUCGUGAUGGGGCUAGAUUAUUGCAAUUAUUAAUCUUCAACGAGGAAUGCCUAGUAAGCGUGAUUCAUCAAAUCGCGUUGAUUACGUCCCUGCCCUUUGUACACACCGCCCGUCGCUCCUACCGAUUGAGUGUGUUGGUGAGGAGUUCGGAUUGGCUCUUAGUGGUGGUUCGCCACCACCUAGAGCUGAGAAGUUCUCCAAACCGCCCCACUUAGAGGAAGGAGAAGUCGUAACA